GACGAACGCUGGCGGCGUGCCUAAAACAUGCAAGUCGAACGAGGGAGCAAUCUCUAGUGGCGAACGGCGGAGUAAGACGUGAGCAACGUGCCCCAAAGUCCGGGACAAACGCAGAAAUGCCAUAAAUACCGGAUGUGGUCCAACCUCGGCAUCGAGGAUGGAUUAAACGGAUUUUCGCUUUGGGAGCGGCUCACGGCCUAUCAGGUAGUUGGUGGGGUAACGGCCUACCAAGCCGACGACAGGUAACGGGUCUGAGAGGAUGAUCCGUCCGAGUGGGACUGAGACACGGCCCACACACCUACGGGCGGCAGCAGUUGGGAAUCUUGCACAAUGGGGGAAACCCUGAUGCAGCGACGCCGCGUGGAGGAUGAAGGGUCUAGGCCUGUAAACUCCUUUUACCAGGAAAGACUUAGGACGGUACCUGGGGAAUAAGGACCGGCUAACUACGUGCCAGCCGCCGCUGU
rnacentral:rRNA from 1 species